rnacentral:rRNA from 1 species
CCAGACUCCUACGGGAGGCAGCAGUGGGGAAUAUUGGGCAAUGGACGCAAGUCUGACCCAGCAACGCCGCGUGAAGGAAGAAGGCUUUCGGGUUGUAAACUUCUUUUAAGGGGGAAGAGCAGAAGACGGUACCCCUUGAAUAAGCCACGGCUAACUACGUGCCAGCAGCCGCGGUAAUACGUAGGUGGCAAGCGUUAUCCGGAAUGAUUGGGCGUAAAGGGUGCGCAGGCGGCGUGGCAAGUCUGAAGUGAAAGGUACGGGCUCAACCUGUACAGGCUUUGGAAACUGCCGCGCUCGAGGACAGGAGAGGGCGGUGGAACUCCAUGUGUAGCGGUAAAAUGCGUAGAUAUAUGGAAGAACACCAGUGGCGAAGGCGGCCGCCUGGACUGUUACUGACGCUCAGGCACGAAAGCGUGGGGAGCAAAUAGGAUUAGAUACCCUCGUAU